rnacentral:misc_RNA from 1 species
GAUGAAGAACGUAGCGAAAUGCGAUAAGUAAUGUGAAUUGCAGAACUCAGUGAAUCAUCGAAUCUUUGAACGCACAUUGCGCCCCCUGGUAUUCCGGGGGGCAUGCCUGUUCGAGCGUCAUUUCACCACUCAAGCCUCGCUUGGUAUUGGGCAACGCGGUCCGCCGCGUGCCUCAAAUCGACCGGCUGGGUCUUCUGUCCCCUAAGCGUUGUGGAAACUAUUCGCUAAAGGGUGUUCGGGAGGCUACGCCGUAAAACAACCCCAUUUCUAAGGUUGACCUCGGAUCAGGUAGGGAUACCCGCUGAACUUAAGCAUAUCAAUAACGGAGGA